ensembl:lncRNA
GUUGAGUCCUUUUGAUGACAGCAUGAGUUCUGAGAACAAAGCUUCCAGCCUGUGUAAUGAGAGCUCAGAGCCUGAAAUAGCUGCUCUUCGCAUGCAAACACAGGGCCUGAGCCGAAGCUUUGACAGCGUGUUUUUGUCAUUUGUAAAACUCAGAGGGUUCCUCCAAGACCACAGAACAGGUGUGUCUUUCAUGAAGGCAAGCCCUCCACCCGGCCUUGCGUCCAGUUGGCCUCUUGUCGGAUCCCCUUUAGAAGUCAACCAGUUGUCCGGCCGUCCAGCCCAGGCUAUCCUCAUGUUCAUGUAUGAACCUGCUUCUGAACUCUGCAGCCCAGAGAAGACUCGGCAAAGCUGGGGGGCCACUGUGCCUGCAGGCUCCCCUGCUGGGGGGCCACCCCUCAGCCCACCUAAGGAGUUCCACACAGGGCAUGGUCCAGUCUUUGUGUCAGCCAGCCUUCACCAGUACCCCUCAUCCCUCCCACCAUGCGGAUCAUCAGAAUCAAAGCCCAGGGUCGGGCUGGAAUCCUGUACUUCCCUUUUCCCCCAAAAUAUCUACCUUGAAAGAAUUUUUGCAAAUCAAAUCAUAAGCGCAUUAGAGUUAAUUAUAUACUAUUAAAUUCACUGCUGUGGCAAAGCCUUGGAAAAUGAAGAAUCUUUUUCUAAUUAAAAUAAACAAAUUUCAGUUCAC